ensembl:lncRNA
CGUGAAGCAAAGCUUACGGGGACCUUUCUGUCAGGUUUGUAUAGGUAAUUAGCUUAUCCAUACAAGGCUGAACGCUACGCUACAGGAGGAGUUCUAAACCACCUCCUGUAAUUGGUCCUGAAGUCAAAACCUACUUCACUGAACAUGAAGCUGAAGGGAAACUGAAGAAUAUAGACUAGGAUUUCAACUUAAUCUGGGGAACUGUGGAAAGGAGUGUGCCGCACUUCAAAAAUCCAGAAGGAGAAUGGAAAACUAAACUUGCAUAAGCCUGAGUACAGCACACAGAUGAUUUGAGAAGGAUGCCUCAGAACGUAAUGACAUUACAUGACUGAAGGCACAGUGCUGGUAUUGUGAUAUCUGGAUUUGAUGGUGAAAGAGUUGCAAGAAGGAAGAAUGACUUUCUCCCUCUGUAUCAAUAUAACAACGUUCAGCUAUUCCAUACUGUCCUGAGGAAUCCCUGACAAACAUGAGAGAAAUUAAAUACUGAUGUUGUAGACUUUGUGCAGUAGCACAGCUCUGGAGAAUGCUAAGAAGAAAUCCUCUGUGUGUUCUCCUGAAUCAUAAAGGCUGGUAAGAAUGAGAAGCCUAACUCAUCAUUAAUCCACAGGCAAAGUACUAUUCAAGCAGCUGUAGUGAAAGCUCUCGUAUGCUGCCCUGGAAAUAACCCCAGCCUUGACGUGGUAAAAUGACCCUAGGUGUCAGUGACACAACACCGCCACCAUGCAGUGAGUUGGAUGGAUGCCUGAAAAUAUGCUAGCCCUUCAGAGUUCCAGCAGCCCUCCCAGAACUGCAUGCAGUACUGCAUUCACUCCAGGACACAAAAUGAACUUUUGUAGUAGAAUCAAGGACAUGGAAAUAAGAAAACCUACGGACACAAUCGACUUACAGUGUUCAGUAAGUGGAAGAAUUACUUAGAGUCACGUGAGUGGCCGCCUCUGUACAUCCAGCAUGUGCUCAGUCCUGGCUGCUAUCUGUACAGGCUCUUCUGCUGCGAGAAAAAUUGAGACUUCAUAGAAACCGUGUCACCAAGCCCUUUGAAUCAGGUAAUGUCACAUCUAACUUGCAAUAUUGAGUGCUAGCUCCCGUAAAAUAUUGUUCCUGCUAUUUAAAUACUGCUGUACUCUUCACUCUACAGAACCUGGCCCCAUGCAAAACCUUUUAGACUUCAGUGUCUCUUUGCUUCAGGGCCUAACCUCGGGUUCAUAAAAUAUUUGUAGCUGUCAGCCCAGUGCAUCCACAGAAACUGCACAGAUGCAGAAAGCCUAUCUGAUGUAGUGUUAGUAAGAAUAAUUUAGAGCUGCAAAUAUUUAGCAGAUUUUUAACAGAUACAUAUAUAUACACUACAUAUGUAAAUGCAUACAUAUCAGACAAAGUAUACAUGAGAAAAUCUGUGAUUGCUUUGGUGAUGGUACAUCCAAACUGGGCUGUUAGCAAUGAAAAAUGUCUUUAACAUAUCAAGACAGUACUUGAAAGUUCAGUUACAUCUUUACAUUUGUGAUACUCAGUCUUGUUUCAUAUUGGAGGUUGCUGACGAGACAUGUCAUUUUAACACUUUUUUACUGCUCUGUUAUAAUUCUGUCAAGCCUUGGUCUUUUGCUCUCAAAAACUGCAGGACAGAAUAUCUGCCCUGGCCUCCAGAUCUGUCUUUUGUAUGUUUUUAGCUAAUUGGAAAAGUGAAGCCACCUAGGAGCUAACAUACAGCUUUAUUUGUGGUUAUGAUCACAGAAUGCAUGAGGUUUGGUUGUUGGUAUGCGUUGUGUUGCUGUGUUCUGCACUUGGCUACUUGCAGUGCCCAUCCAGUGCCUGGAGGACAGGGGGAAAUAAGGAAGAGCCUGGCUUGGAAUUUGGGAGUGCUAUAUUAAAUGUGAGAAAGAGAGAUCAAGUCAUGAAUUGUGCCUGUAUUUAGCCUGUGUGAAGCACUGCCUAAGUGCAGAAUACUGCUGGUCCUUCGUUUCGCUACAGAAAAUGAAUUCUGGUAUGUUGUGCAGCAGAUAAACCCUCAAGGAAAUCAACACUGUGGUUCUCAGGAUUUGAAUGAUGUACAAUAAAUAAGGCCUGAGGUCACAUAAUGAACGUCAUUAAGGGAAAUAAAACAUGAAAUAGCUGUGUGUUAAGCUGAUGGCAUGCGUUCUGUGCGCUGCAUGAGGAAAGAGUCUGUGAGAAGAGUGGUGUGUUAUCAAGUGACUGCAGUCAGUGCCUCAGUUCAGAAGCAGAGGAAAGAUAGUGUCAGCUGGUGUUUCUGAACUGACAGUUGCAACUGACAAUUUUAACGUAUAAUUAUGCAGUUAGCCUUUACAGGACCUCAGCUCUUCUGAUUCUGUCCUUUCCAAAAAUUGGCUCAUGUGCACUGUGCCACUGCCCAGUGUUACAGCAUGCUGGUUGGAACAGGCUGCUAUGUACUUUGUGUGUGCAGAAAUGAUCUUAGUAAUAGCAGGUAUUAGAUUCAGGCAUUUCUCCUUUCUUAGAGUUCUUUUCCUCCGUUACGAGACAAGCUGGCAGAGUUCAGGACCAUGAUUUACAUAGUCAGGACUUCGCUGUACAGUGAGGCUGCAGCUCUCUCAAAUGCUGCUGUGCGGCAACUUGGCUUUAGAAGAACCAAUGUUUUCUUUUUCAUUUUGAGGUGAUGGUUUCUGACAAGCAGUUCCACUGGAAGUGGUGAUGCAGUGGCAGGGGCUGUGCGGGGCGGUGGUGCAGUCACCAUCCCUGGACGUGUUGAAGAACCGUGGAGAUGUGGCAGUGAGGGACGUGGUCAGUGGGGAUGGGUUGGUGGAUUGGAUGUGGUGGCCUUUAGAGGUCUGUUCCAACCUUAAUGAUUCUGUGAUUCUGUGAGUAUAGGCAGGUUUUCAGGCAUUUGUUCUGAAAGCUUCUGGGUAGCAACGGUCUGCUUGUUUGUGCUAGGUGGAAGCCAACCGGUGCUCAUUUGGGCCGCUCAUGACAGCUUCACGUGAGCACAGAAAUAGGAGAUUUUACACAGAACGUCCAACAGACAGUGGGAUUUCAGUUUGGACGUUUCUGCAUUAAGCAUCUCAGGUUACACGGGAUAAUCC